rnacentral:rRNA from 1 species
UACGAAGGGGGCUAGCGUUGUUCGGAAUCACUGGGCGUAAAGGGCGCGUAGGCGGCUUUAUAAGUCGGGGGUGAAAGCCUGUGGCUCAACCACAGAAUUGCCUUCGAUACUGUAGAGCUUGAGACCGGAAGAGGUAAGUGGAACUGCGAGUGUAGAGGUGAAAUUCGUAGAUAUUCGCAAGAACACCAGUGGCGAAGGCGGCUCACUGGCCCGAUACUGACGCUGAGGCACGAAAGCGUGGGAAGCAAACAGGG